AAUUCCCUCCAUGGUCCGCUCUUUUUUUUGGUGAAAUCAAAUAGUCCACUCUUUUUUCGUGAAAUCAAAUGGCACAAAGGAAUAGAGCACUCAUAGUUUCAUCCUUACAAACUUACUGCCGCUUCUCCAAGCCACCUCUCCACCUCUCUUUCUCUCCUCACCACGACGAUCAAUGGAGCAACACUAUUUAUCUUCCUCACGGACCUCACCAACAACACCACAACACUGUCUUGAUCUUCUAUGGAUCAAACAUACACCUCCAAUAAUCCCCCCAAUAUCGAGGCUUUUUCAUCUAUCACAUCAUAUAUUCAAAUAUGAUGUAUGCUAUAUUUCGGAGGUCAAUCGCAUAUGUAUGUCACAUAGGAUCGGAUGGUAUGGUAUAUAAAAUCAUAUUUAUCGCACAUUGGAGUAGAUUUAGGGUUUUCGCCGAUUCUCUCAUGAUGAACACGGAUCCUAAUCAGUCUCAGCGUUGGAUAUUUGGGAAGUUCUUGAAGAACCCUUCAAGUUUCCAUCAAGUACUAGAUCAACAAUAUUCAAAGGAUUAGUUAAUAAUUUGAUUGAUUUUUGAUUUCUGUGAAAAGUUCAAGUAUUCAAUCCUAUUUUUAUGUUUUGAAAUAAGUUUGGGUGAAGAAAUUUAUGAAGGGAUUUAAAAUAUAGAUGAAUUUUUUGAUGCACAUAACUUGUUUGAUGAAAUGUCUAAGAUAAAAAGUUCAAGUUAAAGUCCACAUUUUAAUUAAGAAGAAGGUGAAGAUGAAUCAUAUUUUGAGUGAUGUUUUUUUUUGUCAUUCAGGUGCAGUACGUGUUGUCGAUGCAGAUGAGAGGCAGAAGUUCUCUGAGAAGGUCAUUGUGCUGCUUCUUAUUGUUGACGCCAUUGAGCAGGGGGCUGAUAUCAUGGUUAGGGCUACCAAAAAGGUCGAUGGUGGAUGAGCUAGAAGCAAUGCUGGACCUGGUGGAUCCGCAGCCAAGAGGUGAUGGUUUGAUACAUUUGGUUGCUUUUUUUUAAUGCUUAUGUGGCCCAAGAAAAAGGUUUCAAAGGAAGGGAACAAGAAAUGGAGCAAGAAAUGGUAGUCCAAUGAGAUGGAAAAUUACUAAAGAUUUUAGAUGUAAAGACGGGAUCACAAAAACAUUUGAAAAUCCUUGUGUUUUAAAUAUUGAUAAUAUUGUUGUUAGAAAAGUUUGAAUUAAAUUAAUGAUAUUAUGUUUUUUAUUUAUUAUCUUAA